CUUCAGAGGGAGAAACUCACCCUUGGAUGGAUGCUUACUCUCUGCACUGAUUUUACUCCAGACCCCAUCAAGAGUUCAUGCCCACUACAGGACAGGCUGAGACUUCCUCCUGCUGCAGGGGGUCAGUGCUGACUGAUCCAAGCUAACUAGGGUUAUUCUGUUUCCUGGACCACUGAUUCACCAAAGGAUGGACCCAGUGCACAAUUCUGGCCAAUGUGAUACUGGGUGCAGUCAACUUGUGACCUUGAAGAAGAAAAAUCCCAGAUUAUUGCAAGAGAGCUGACAUCAUUGAGCUACUGAAUGAACUUCCCUGGGAUUACCCAGUGCCCAGACUUCC